GGUAAAAGAGUAUGAUGAUUCAAUUAGAUGUGUGAAUGGAGAGACAGAGAAAUAUCCCCUCCUUCAUGAACUUGCAAUAUUUAUUUGGCAAUAAUUAAUCUGACUCUUUUACU